UAGACGCUGGCGGCAGGCUUAACACAUGCAAGUCGAGCGGUAGCACAGGGGAGCUUGCUCCCUGGGUGACGAGCGGCGGACGGGUGAGUAAUGUCUGGGAAACUGCCUGAUGGAGGGGGAUAACUACUGGAAACGGUAGCUAAUACCGCAUAACGUCGCAAGACCAAAGAGGGGGACCUUCGGGCCUCUUGCCAUCAGAUGUGCCCAGAUGGGAUUAGCUAGUAGGUGGGGUAAUGGCUCACCUAGGCGACGAUCCCUAGCUGGUCUGAGAGGAUGACCAGCCACACUGGAACUGAGACACGGUCCAGACUCCUACGGGAGGCAGCAGUGGGGAAUAUUGCACAAUGGGCGCAAGCCUGAUGCAGCCAUGCCGCGUGUGUGAAGAAGGCCUUCGGGUUGUAAAGCACUUUCAGCGAGGAGGAAGGUGGUGAGCUUAAUACGUCAUCAAUUGACGUUACUCGCAGAAGAAGCACCGGCUAACUCCGUGCCAGCAGCCGCGGUAAUACGGAGGGUGCAAGCGUUAAUCGGAAUUACUGGGCGUAAAGCGCACGCAGGCGGUUUGUUAAGUCAGAUGUGAAAUCCCCGGGCUCAACCUGGGAACUGCAUUUGAAACUGGCAAGCUAGAGUCUCGUAGAGGGGGGUAGAAUUCCAGGUGUAGCGGUGAAAUGCGUAGAGAUCUGGAGGAAUACCGGUGGCGAAGGCGGCCCCCUGGACGAAGUACUGACGUCAGGUGCGAAAGCG
rnacentral:rRNA from 1 species